CUUCAAUUCUCGGGAUUUGAAGAUGGCUGGACAGUCAGCGCCGAAAGUGGUGGUGAAAAGCACCACCAAGAUGUCUCUAAAUGAGCGCUUUGCUAAUAUGCUGAGGAACAAACAGCUGACGCCAGCGACUAUUCCAGCUUUGAUGCAGGACCAACAGCAGCCAGCCAGUGCCAGAAACAGAAGACUGGCCCAGCAGAGGGAGACUAGACCCUCUGUCCAGUCAGCAUUCAAACUUUAGCAGAAGAGCUUAAAGCAGUCUGGGUAAGAGUAACAACCAGACAUGGUUAGGCACAGGGGCCCUGGCCAGGGGAGCAGAUGGAGGACAAGUCCUACCCAUAAUCCAGAGAGGCUUGCCCAGAGGAGGACUACGUGGGCGACAAGCCACCAGAACCCUGCUUAGAGGCGGGAUGUCGCUCAGAGGUCAAAACCUGCUCUGAGGUGGACAAGCCAUAGCUCCCUGAAUGGGCUUAAGAAAAGGUGGUGGUCGAGGUUGUGGAUGUCCUGGGAAAGGGAGCCUAGGGUGUGGAGCUAUGGGUCAUGGCAGAAUCGGUGGUAGAGGUCCAGGUAUGAUAGGUCGGGAAAGAGGGGGCUUUGGAGGCUGAGGCCAAGGCUGUGGACGAGGAAGAGGUGCCCUUGCUCGCCCUGUAUUGACCAAGGAGCAGCUGGACAACAACUUGGAUGCAUACGUGUUGAAAACAAAAGGACACCUGGAUGCUGAGUUGGAUGCCCAGAUGGCGCAGACAGAUUCUGAAGCCAAUGAGUGAAGCCUGCCCACUGCUCACCCUCCUGUGAGAGACUCUUGUUGGUCAACACAUCUGUAAAUAACCUUGAGAUAACAGACGAGAAAUCUGAUUGAUGCUGGAUGGACCCAUCACAAUAGGCUGUGGACUUACUUGCCACCAGCUUGUGCAUUUAGUGUGUUCCUUUUACUUUUUGAUACUGUGUUGUAUGAAACCCUUUGUCCUUUGAUUUAGUUUUAGUUUUUGGUUGUUUUUUUUGGGGGGGGGAUUCCCCUCCUUUGCCCAGACUUCUCUUUGAACACAAAUGUGUUAGCCUUGUGGCUAGAACUCCCUUUUCCUACCUCUGCCUUCCCUCACUCAUCACAGGCUCUGACAUGCUAACAUUUCUUUUGUUGAUCUCUGUUGCCCCCACAAAAAGGUCCCAGAAAAAAAACGGUCAGUGUUCAUCCCUGAUGCUUAGGUUUCUGACAUAGCGUUCUGUUACAUCCUCUUCAGCAGCCUCUUUAAAAUGUUUAGAAAGUCUGGAGCUCAAAAAUGCAUUCUCCCACAUUGGUAAUUUAGUAAACUGAGAACACUGA